rnacentral:rRNA from 1 species
CUGGCUCAGGAUGAACGCUGGCGGCGUGCCUAAUACAUGCAAGUCGAGCGAAUGGAUUAAGAGCUUGCUCUUAUGAAGUUAGCGGCGGACGGGUGAGUAACACGUGGGUAACCUGCCCAUAAGACUGGGAUAACUCCGGGAAACCGGGGCUAAUACCGGAUAAUAUUUUGAACUGCAUGGUUCGAAAUUGAAAGGCGGCUUCGGCUGUCACUUAUGGAUGGACCCGCGUCGCAUUAGCUAGUUGGUGAGGUAACGGCUCACCAAGGCAACGAUGCGUAGCCGACCUGAGAGGGUGAUCGGCCACACUGGGACUGAGACACGGCCCAGACUCCUACGGGAGGCAGCAGUAGGGAAUCUUCCGCAAUGGACGAAAGUCUGACGGAGCAACGCCGCGUGAGUGAUGAAGGCUUUCGGGUCGUAAAACUCUGUUGUUAGGGAAGAACAAGUGCUAGUUGAAUAAGCUGGCACCUUGACGGUACCUAACCAGAAAGCCACGGCUAACUACGUGCCAGCAGCCGCGGUAAUAC